rnacentral:rRNA from 1 species
UAACAGGUCUUCGGACGCUGACGAGUGGCGAACGGGUGAGUAAUACAUCGGAACGUGCCCAGUCGUGGGGGAUAACUACUCGAAAGAGUAGCUAAUACCGCAUACGAUCUGAGGAUGAAAGCGGGGGACCUUCGGGCCUCGCGCGAUUGGAGCGGCCGAUGGCAGAUUAGGUAGUUGGUGGGAUAAAAGCUUACCAAGCCGACGAUCUGUAGCUGGUCUGAGAGGACGACCAGCCACACUGGGACUGAGACACGGCCCAGACUCCUACGGGAGGCAGCAGUGGGGAAUUUUGGACAAUGGGCGAAAGCCUGAUCCAGCAAUGCCGCGUGCAGGAUGAAGGCCUUCGGGUUGUAAACUGCUUUUGUACGGAACGAAAAAGCUUCUCCUAAUACGAGAGGCCCAUGACGGUACCGUAAGAAUAAGCACCGGCUAACUACGUGCCAGCAGCCGCGGUAAUACGUAGGGUGCGAGCGUUAAUCGGAAUUACUGGGCGUAAAGCGUGCGCAGGCGGUUAUGUAAGACAGAUGUGAAAUCCCCGGGCUCAACCUGGGAACUGCAUUUGUGACUGCAUGGCUAGAGUACGGUAGAGGGGGAUGGAAUUCCGCGUGUAGCAGUGAAAUGCGUAGAUAUGCGGAGGAACACCGAUGGCGAAGGCAAUCCCCUGGACCUGUACUGACGCUCAUGCACGAA